rnacentral:rRNA from 1 species
AGAGUUUGAUCCUGGCUCAGGAUGAACGCUAGCUACAGGCUUAACACAUGCAAGUCGAGGGGAAACGAUGCGGAAGCUUGCUUCUGCAGGCGUCGACCGGCGCACGGGUGAGUAACGCGUAUCCAACCUGCCCCGAGGUAAGGAAUAAUCCGUAGAAAUGCGGUCUAAUACCUUAUGUGCUCCGAAGAGGACAUCUGAUUUGGAGUAAAGAUUUAUCGCCUUGGGAUGGGGAUGCGUCUGAUUAGAUUGUUGGCGGGGCAACGGCCCACCAAGUCAUCGAUCAGUAGGGGUUCUGAGAGGAAAGUCCCCCACAUUGGAACUGAGACACGGUCCAAACUCCUACGGGAGGCAGCAGUGAGGAAUAUUGGUCAAUGGGUGAGAACCUGAACCAGCCAAGUAGCGUGCAGGAUGACGGCCCUAUGGGUUGUAAACUGCUUUUGUACGGGGAUAAAGGAGCUUACGUGUAAGUUUUUGCAGGUACCGUACGAAUAAGGACCGGCUAAUUCCGUGCCAGCAGCCGCGGUAAUACGGAAGGUCCGGGCGUUAUCCGGAUUUAUUGGGUUAAAGGGAGCGCAGGCCGUCGGUUAAGCGUGUUGUGAAAUUCAGAUGCCCAACAUCUGACUUGCAGCGCGAACUGGCUGACUUGAGUACGCACGACGUUGGCGGAAUUUGCCGUGUAGCGGUGAAAUGCUUAGAUAUGGCGAAGAACUCCGAUUGCGAAGGCAGCUGACGGGAGCGCAACUGACGCUCAUGCUCGAAAGUGNNGUAUCGAACAGGAUUAGAUACCCUGGUAGUCCGNCACGGUAACGAUGGGAUGCCCNNCUAUUAGCCCAUUA